UACGAAGGGGGCUAGCGUUGCUCGGAAUGACUGGGCGUAAAGGGCGCGUAGGCGGAUGGCACAGUCAGAUGUGAAAUUCCCGGGCUUAACCUGGGGGCUGCAUUUGAUACGUGUGAUCUAGAGUGAGGAAGAGGGUCGUGGAAUUCCCAGUGUAGAGGUGAAAUUCGUAGAUAUUGGGAAGAACACCGGUGGCGAAGGCGGCGACCUGGUCCUUGACUGACGCUGAGGCGCGAAAGCUCGGGGAGCGAACGGG
rnacentral:rRNA from 1 species